rnacentral:sRNA from 1 species
UAUAACCGACCCCACCAAUUGCCCCAUGCCUGGACACGGCACCAAAGCCAUUGCGUCCGGAUCUCCCAAUGU